GACUAUGAUGAUGAUGAUGAUGUAGACGACAACAAGAAGAAGAUGGCCAAGAAUGUGGUCACAAGUUGUUUUAUUUUAUUUUAUAAUCUUGUUUUGACCAUUGCUAUCUUCUCAUCAUCAUCAUCAUCAUCAUCUUUUGCCUUCGUUUAUCAAUAACAACAACAACAACAACAAUCAAUAUUAAGUAAUAUAAAGGGGAUACCAAUGAUGAUGAAAGAGACAAACUGACUCCGGUUUUUAUUUUGGCCAUCAUCAUCAUCAUCCUUAUUGGCUAUCAUUGACUCUUGGCCGACAAUGCCCGAGUUCAUCUUGAUGAUGAUGAAGAUCAUGAAAAAAAAUGAUGCGGCUUUUUGUCCUCAUACUUUUUUUUCAUAGUGAAGAUUCGAUGAAUUGUACGUUUCUUUUUUAUUUAUACACUAAGUAUAUGAACAGUACGAUUGA